ACUAAAUUGACUAUAAUUAAAUCUGAAAUAAAAUGAAUUAAAACUAUAUAUACUGUAUAUAUUAUAUAUAAAAUGAUAAUUGAUUAGCUAUUAAAAAUGAUAAGAAAUAUGAAUAAUUUAAUUAUAAUUAAAUAAAACAAAAAUAUUAAUUAAGUACUACAAUUACUACAACUAAAGCAGUUAGUUGAAUAUAUAAAUUAUAAUAGCACAUAAUAAAAUGACUAAAACUUAAAUGAUCAAAUUCAAGAUUGUAGUACAUAUUGUCUAAUGUAAAAUCCUGAAGCCGAAUGUAAGAUGUUUUUCUCCAGUGCACUUAUUACAGUUCAUGUUCCCCUGGAGCAACCUAUGGCACGGCAGAGAUAAUGCAUGGCUGGAAACCUUCCAGAUAUAAUCACUACACCACAGCACCGACGUCAGGAGACCAACAGGUCAGCAAACCCUCUGUGGGUGGACUGGGUCUGAAACCACACGAAUCUGACGUACAGUACAUAAACAUCUUCAACAAAUGGAGAACAACAUCUAUAUAGGCGCUUCUGAAUCAUCCGACACUGUCCACAGUCCUCCGCUGUCUCUCUCUCUCUCUCUCUCUCUCUCUCUCUCUGUCUCUCUCUCUCUCUCUCUCUCCAUAGAUCAGACAUGAAGAGGCGUUUGGAGAAGAUGAAGUUCACAGGCGUGUCAGCACGGAUUCGCCCAACACUUAGAACACCUUCUGUUCUAUGGGGCAGACACCACUUCCCAGAAUGCAUCAGGAAACACUGCCCUCCACAUAUGUGCCCUUUACAACAAGGUAACCUGACAGAGUCUGACAGUAAUCCAGCGAUACAGAUGUGACACUGCUGGCUUUGACUUUGAAGGCGUAGCACAGUCUAUUAUUAAUUAUAUACUAUUUUUUUGGUUAUUUCAUAAGCUUUACAUUUUAAUGAAAUUUUAUUUUAUAAUAUAUUUGUAAUUUUAAUUUAAUUUAAUUUAAUUUAAUUUAAUUUAAUUUAAUUUAAUUUAAUUUAAUUUAAUUUUAUUUUAUUUUAUUUUAUUUUAUUAUAUUGUUUCAAUUUUAAUUGUAAUUUUAAUUUUAAUUUAAUUUUAUUUUAUUUUAUUGUUUCAAUUUUAAUUUUAAUUUUAAUUUAAUUUAAUUUAAUUUAAUUUAAUUUAAUUUAAUUUAAUUUAAUUUAAUUUAAUUUAAUUUAAUUUAAUUUAAUUUAAUUUUAAAUUUUAAUUUAAUUUAAUUUUUUUUAUUUUAAUUUUAAUUUAAUUUUAUUAUUGUGUAAUUUUAUGUUCUUUGUGUGUCACUUUUUUAACUUCAACUAAAACUUAUUUCAAGUCAUUUUGUGUGUUUGUGUGUGUGUCUAAUAUAUAUAUAUAUAUAUUAAGCUUUAUUCAGGGUUUCUGCAGGUCUUAAAAAAAUUUAAUUCACCAUUCCUCAAAGGUAAUAAAUCAGAGCAGGAAGUCAGAAAUUGAUAAAGUCAUGACAUUAAAUGUUGCAUGCACUGCUAAUAAUGAAUAUCUUCCUCAGUAUUUUGGUAUUUUUUCCAAUACAAAUAUCUUUAAAUCAAGAUACAUUUACUUAAGUUCAUAAAUGAUGAUAUGAAGCCUUGCUUUCUGAGGAUUUGAACAAAAUUAAGUGAGUUUAUUUUCUGAGAAACUGAAAUGUUUUUUAUUUUUUUAUAAGGAAAAGAAGUCUUGGUAUCUUAUGUCAUUUUGCUUCUGUAGUAAAUGUGUCCUCUCCUCUGUCCAAUCAGGAGAGCUGUGCCCGGGUCCUUCUUUACCGAGGAGCCAGUAAAGAGAUGAAGAACAAACACGGUCAAACCCCUUUCCAGGUAUCUGUGUAUUAAUCCUUCUAGUCAGAAUGACUUCUUAUACAUGCAUGUGGGAGGUUUCACCGCUGUACUAAACAUAAAAGGCUGACAAGACAUAAAGACAUCUACAAUAGAUAUUAUAUACCUAGAAUUGCACAGAUUGUGCUCAUAUAAAAGACUGCUGCAAAGUAUAUAUCAGUGCUGUGUUUGACAGGUCGCUGUGAUGUCUGGCCACUUUGAACUUGGAGAAAUCAUCAAAAAUCACGAUGAUGCAGAUGUCGGUAAGUUUAUAUUUCAAAUGUGCACAGCAAGAGAUAUGCAUACCUUAGCUGUCCUCCAAAAUCUAAGAUCUUGUGUUUUUUGUUGCCUACAAAGAUGCCUUAUAUUGGUGAAAACCCAUAAUGCUUUGUGCUGAAAAAUUGAUUAAAUCAGACCAUUUUACUCAAUAUUUACGUGUUUUUUUGUGUGUGUGUUUAUGAUAGCUGUUGUUAUUACCUGAAACUAUUAGUUUAAACUUAUUAUUUACAUAUAAAAAAUUAUUAAUCAUUAUUCAGCUG
ensembl:lncRNA